rnacentral:rRNA from 1 species
GGAAUCUUGCGCAAUGGGCGAAAGCCUGACGCAGCAACGCCGCGUGAGCGAUGAAGGUCUUCGGAUCGUAAAGCUCUUUCGGCUGGGAAGAAAUGCCCGGAGGCGAAUACCCUCCGGGUUUGACGGUACCAGCAGAAGAAGCACCGGCUAACUCUGUGCCAGCAGCCGCGGUAAUACAGAGGGUGCAAGCGUUGUUCGGAAUUAUUGGGCGUAAAGCGAGUGUAGGCGGGAUGGCAAGUCGGGUGUGAAAGCCCUCGGCUCAACCGAGGAAGUGCGUUCGAAACUGCCGUUCUUGAGUGUCGGAGAGGGUGGCGGAAUUCCCGGUGUAGAGGUGAAAUUCGUAGAUAUCGGGAGGAACACCAGUGGCGAAGGCGGCCACCUGGACGAACACUGACGCUGAGACUCGAAAGCGUGGGGAGCAAA